rnacentral:rRNA from 1 species
CGCGUAGGCGGCUCUGCCAGUCAGGCGUGAAAGCCCCGGGCUUAACCUGGGAACUGCGCUUGAUACUGCAGGGCUAGAGUUCGGGAGAGGAGAGUGGAAUUCCCAGUGUAGAGGUGAAAUUCGUAGAUAUUGGGAAGAACACCAGUGGCGAAGGCGGCUCUCUGGACCGAUACUGACGCUGAGGCGCGAAAGCGUGGAGAGCAAACA